rnacentral:lncRNA from 1 species
AAUUGUUGCUGACGAGGCCGCCUGGACAGCUUGCCUGGUCCCCUGUAUGUCCACUCUGGAUGUCCACAGUGACUCGGGCUCCUCAGCAGCCCACGUCCUCCUCACCAUCUCCCAGAACAGAGGCCCACGGAGUACCGCUCGCAGUUGAGGUAGGCCCGCACCGUGUAGAAGGCCUUGUGGAACUGCCUCUCGAUGUCCGUCAGCUCCUCAAACACCUUGUUGGCCGACCACAGCAGCACCUGGAGGGAGGGGCACACCUGUGGGCCUGUGGCCACUCCCACCCUCACGCCGGUCUGACCACAGCAGCAGGGGUUUAACUCAAGCCUGACACAGGUUUCAUCUGAGCUUGUGGGGCCCGGGAGCUGGCUGGCGGUGAGGCCUCGAGGCUGCGGUCGUGUCCCUGAUCACUCAGGAGUGGACGAGUGGAAAGUGGAAUCUGUCGCUUUGAGCUUGACAGGCAAACAUCCGACCAGCCCUUCCUCCGCCCGGCUGCUCCAGAACCACCUGCGGCGAGCAGGGCUUUGAGAACAUCGGGCCGUGGUUUCCGCACGUCAGGCCGCCUGUGGCCUCCGCCAAGCGUCUGAGAGUGAAGCAUUGCUGACGCACUCCACGAGGUCCUGGCCAGACCCCACUCAGGACAUCCCGCUGCACAGGCCCCUGGUUGCUGGGUCAGCGCUGCCACCAGGCUCAGACUCACCCCAGGGCCCUCCUUGGGCCACCUUUCUCUGCCUCCUUGGUCAAGGCCCAGACCCAGGCCCCACCAGGCCCUGCCUCCUCACACUCGCGGCGGCCGCUGGGUCUUCUACCGCAUGGUGCCAGCUCCCUCUCCUCCGCUGCGGUGUCCUAGCCCAGCUCUCUCCCUGCCAGGCCCUCUGAAGUUCCACCCCCUGGCACUCAGCUCAUGGUGGGAACAGGACCAGGCUCUCCUGUUGCCAAGGGCAGUGAGAUGUUCGUAGCUUUAUUUCCCAGUACAUUGAUUUUACUGAUUUUAGUUUAUCUUCAGUUGAAUAAUUGUGUGUAUUGAUGGGGUUUAUGUUUUAUGGGGUUUGGCGUGAUGUUCUGAUGUAAGUAUUUGUUGCAGAAAGAUUCAAUUAAGCUAAUCAACAUAUCCA